rnacentral:rRNA from 1 species
CUAGCGACAGGCUUAACACAUGCAAGUCGAGGGGCAGCACGGUGUAGCAAUACAUUGGUGGCGACCGGCGCACGGGUGAGUAACGCGUAUGCAACCUACCUAUCAGAGGGGAAUAACCCGGCGAAAGUCGGACUAAUACCGCAUAAAACAGGGGUUCCACAUGGAAAUAUUUGUUAAAGAUUUAUCGCUGAUAGAUGGGCAUGCGUUCCAUUAGAUAGUUGGUGAGGUAACGGCUCACCAAGUCUACGAUGGAUAGGGGUUCUGAGAGGAAGGUCCCCCACACUGGUACUGAGACACGGACCAGACUCCUACGGGAGGCAGCAGUGAGGAAUAUUGGCCAAUGGGCGAGAGCCUGAACCAGCCAAGUCGCGUGAAGGAUGAAGGAUCUAUGGUUUGUAAACUUCUUUUAUAUGGGAAUAAAGUGAGGAACGUGUUCCUUUUUGUAUGUACCAUAUGAAUAAGCAUCGGCUAACUCCGUGCCAGCAGCCGCGGUAAUACGGAGGAUGCGAGCGUUAUCCGGAUUUAUUGGGUUUAAAGGGUGCGUAGGUGGUUUUUUAAGUCAGCGGUGAAAGUUUGUGGCUCAACCAUAAAAUUGCCGUUGAAACUGGGGAACUUGAGUAUAUUUGAGGUAGGCGGAAUGCGUGGUGUAGCGGUGAAAUGCAUAGAUAUCACGCAGAACUCCGAUUGCGAAGGCAGCUUACUAAACUAUAACUGACACUGAAGCACGAAAGCGUGGGGAUCAAACAGGAUUAGAUACCCUGGUAGUCCACGCAGUAAACGAUGAUUACUAGCUGUUUGCGAUACACAGUAAGCGGCACAGCGAAAGCGUUAAGUAAUCCACCUGGGGAGUACGCCGGCAACGGUGAAACUCAAAGGAAUUGACGGGGGCCCGCACAAGCGGAGGAACAUGUGGUUUAAUUCGAUGAUACGCGAGGAACCUUACCCGGGUUUGAACGCAUUCGGACCGACUGUGAAAGCAGUCUUUCAGCAAUGACCGUUUGCGAGGUGCUGCAUGGUUGUCGUCAGCUCGUGCCGUGAGGUGUCGGCUUAAGUGCCAUAACGAGCGCAACCCUUAUCACUAGUUACUAACAGGUCAUGCUGAGGACUCUAGUGAGACUGCCAGCGUAAGCUGUGAGGAAGGUGGGGAUGACGUCAAAUCAGCACGGCCCUUACAUCCGGGGCGACACACGUGUUACAAUGGUGGGGACAAAGGGCGGCUACACAGCGAUGUGAUGCUAAUCUCCAAACCCCAUCUCAGUUCGGAUCGAAGUCUGCAACCCGACUUCGUGAAGCUGGAUUCGCUAGUAAUCGCGCAUCAGCCAUGGCGCGGUGAAUACGUUCCCGGGCCUUGUACACACCGCCCGUCAAGCCAUGGGAGUUGGGGGUACCUAAAGUCCGUAACCGCAAGGAUCGGCCUAGGGUAAAACCGAUGACUGGGGC